rnacentral:rRNA from 1 species
UACAGAGGUCUCGAGCGUUAGGCGGAAUCACUGGGCUUAAAGCGUGUGUAGGUGGAUGCCUAAGUACCUUGUGAAAUCCCACGGCUUAACCGUGGAACUGCUUGGUAUACUGGGUGUCUUGAGUCACUCAGGGGCGAGCGGAACAAAUGGGUGGAGCGGUGAAAUGCGUAGAUAUCAUUUGGAACGCCCAAUGGGUGAAAACAGCUCGCUGGGGG